CCUACGGGUGGCAGCAGUGGGGAAUAUUGCGCAAUGGGCGAAAGCCUGACGCAGCGACGCCGCGUGAGGGAUGAAGGCCUUCGGAUCGUAAACCUCUGUCAGCAGGGAAGAACGGUCACUGUGCUAUUCAGCAGUGAAUUGACGGUACCUGCAAAGGAAGCACCGGCUAACUCCGUGCCAGCAGCCGCGGUAAUACGGAGGGUGAGAGCGUUAAUCGGAAUUACUGGGCGUAAAGCGCUCGUAGGCGGUCUGUCAAGUCAAGGGUGAAAUCCCCGGGCUCAACGUGGGAACUGCCUUUGAAACUGGCAGACUGGAGUGUGGGAGAGGAGGGUAGAAUUCCAGGUGUAGGGGUGAAAUGCGUAGAUAUCUGGAGGAAUAUCGGUGGCGAAGGCGACUACCUGGAAGAUGACUGACGCUGAGGUGCGAAAGCGUGGGUAGCAAACAGGAUUAGAUACCCGAGUAGUC
rnacentral:rRNA from 1 species